AUUGAACGCUGGCGGCAGGCCUAACACAUGCAAGUCGAGCGGAUGAAGGGAGCUUGCUCCUGGAUUCAGCGGCGGACGGGCGAGUAAUGCCUAGGAAUCUGCCUGGUAGUGGGGGAUAACGUCCGGAAACGGGCGCUAAUACCGCAUACGUCCUGAGGGAGAAAGUGGGGGAUCUUCGGACCUCACGCUAUCAGAUGAGCCUAGGUCGGAUUAGCUAGUUGGUGGGGUAAAGGCCUACCAAGGCGACGAUCCGUAACUGGUCUGAGAGGAUGAUCAGUCACCCUGGAACUGAGACACGGUCCAGACUCCUACGGGAGGCAGCAGUGGGGAAUAUUGGACAAUGGGCGAAAGCCUGAUCCAGCCAUGCCGCGUGUGUGAAGAAGGUCUUCGGAUUGUAAAGCACUUUAAGUUGGGAGGAAGGGCAGUAAGUUAAUACCUUGCUGUUUUGACGUUACCAACAGAAUAAGCACCGGCUAACUUCGUG
rnacentral:rRNA from 1 species